rnacentral:lncRNA from 1 species
AUGCGCCUGACACCUGUAUUCAAAAUCCGAAACUCCAAACGUCGAGAAUUCUCUUGCCUCCGACCUCCUUCUGCUAAACUGGGGGGAAUGACGCUUCCGCACUCUGCUCCAUUUUCCCUUCCAGCUGCCCAGAUCAGUUUGCCCAUCAGGUGUGUGUCGAGUCGCAGCGCCACCUCCGACACGCUCCCCUCAAAGGCUCAAGCGCUCCAGAUCCGCACCGCAAGGCCCCGGGGCUGCUGGGCGGAGCGGCUCGGAAGUCCUUCCCGGGGCUGCUGCCAGGCGCGGGAGCCACCGCAGCUUUACGCACGGCGCGCACCUCGGAGCGAGCUCGCCAAGUCCCCGGGGCCCCAAGCAACUUCUGGUUCUGGCCGGGGAACCUCGGGAAACAACGAGAUUGCCCGAGUGGCUCUGCCACGCCCCGAGUGGUGCCUGGUCACUACUGGGGGACAAGUAUCUUUGCCUGGAAAUGACGCUCUCUGUGCAAACAGAUGAAUGAAGGGGCAAGCUGUAACGCGUCGUCUGCGAUUUUCUCCAGGACCCGUCACAGUCAUCUAGAGCCGCGAGGGCUGAUUUCUCCUUGCCUUUCCCCGGGACGCAGGUCCCGGCGACGCACUCAGCGGGACGGCAGACCAGAGCCGCUGUUUUGUCACCAGACCUCAGACUUGAAAGAUCAAACUUAGGUUGCCCUGAAAACACAUCAGACUUUCAUGUUUUCAGCUCUGGUAAUUUCUUAAUAAUGGAGCCACAUUAACAGCGCUCGCACACGUGGCUGAAAGAUCCUGCUACUGUAAAAGCGCAGCCACAAGAUGACCUCCAUUUCCAAUCCCAGAUUCAAAAAUCAAAGAUGUGUUAUCUUGCGUCCUCUCUUUUUCUUCUUUUUUGAGUCCUUUUUUUUUCUUUGUCAUUCCACUCCCUUCGCCUCAAAUAGAACAAUAAUUAUCAUGGCUCUAAACCCUGGGGAGGCAUUGUUCAAAGACAUUGUGUUUUCUGUAUUUAUUUCAACCUGGCAAGUGACAUUGAGAGUUUAAGUUGACAAAGUAACAAGGCCAGAUCAAGUAUAUGAGGUUUAAAAAAAAUCAGCAGCACACACACAUCACUUCAUCUGUUUCAGAAUUCAAAGUGCUCUUCCUCCAUCUUACAAUGUAAAUUGUUUAACCUUUGUAAUUAGAUAAUUUCAGCCAUGAUGUUGUAAAUAUAAGAAUUAUACAAUUUUCCUUUGAAGUGUGGUGCUCAGAAGACUGGAAAGGAAGUUUCCUCUCUGGAAGGGAUUGAAAACAAACACUAAAACCUG